ensembl:misc_RNA Metazoa_SRP Metazoan signal recognition particle RNA
GCUGGGCAUGGUGGCUCAUGCCUGUAAUCCCAGCAUUUUGGGAGGCUGAGGUGGGCGGAUCACCUGAGGUCAGGAGUUUGAGACCAGCCUGGCCAACAUGGUGAAACCCCAUCUCUA